rnacentral:rRNA from 1 species
CCUACGGGAGGCAGCAGUGAGGAAUAUUGGUCCAUGGACGAGAGUCUGAACCAGCCAAGUAGCGUGAAGGAUGACUGCCCUAUGGGUUGUAAACUUCUUUUAUAGGGGAAUAAAAUGUCCUACGUGUGGGAUUUUGUAUGUACCAUAUGAAUAAGGAACGGCUAACUCCGUGCCAGCAGCCGCGGUAAUACGGAGGAUCCGAGCUUUAUCCGGAUUUAUUGGGUUUAAAGGGAGCGUAGGUGGAUUGUUAAGUCAGUUGUGAAAGUUUGGUGCUCAACCGUAAAAUUGCAGUUGAAACUGGCAGUCUUGAGUACGGUAGAGGUAGGCGGAAUUCGUGGUGUAGCGGUGAAAUGCUUAGAUAUUACGAAGAACUCCGAUUGCGAAGGCAGCUCACUGGAGUGCAACUGACACUGAGGCUCGAAAGUGUGGGGAUCAAACAGGAUUAGAUACCCUUGUAGUC